rnacentral:rRNA from 1 species
GUGCCAGCAGCGGCGGUAAUACGGAGGGUGCAAGCGUUAAUCGGAAUUACUGGGCGUAAAGCGCACGCAGGCGGUCUGACAAGUCGGAUGUGAAAUCCCCGGGCUCAACCCGGGAACUGCAUUCGAAACUGUCAGGCUGGAGUCUUGUAGAGGGGUAGAAUUCCAGGUGUAGCGGUGAAAUGCGUAGAGAUCUGGAGGAAUACCGGUGGCGAAGGCGGCCCCCUGGACAAAGACUGACGCUCAGGUGCGAAAGCGUGGGGAGCAAACAGGAUUAGAUACCCUGGUAGUCCACGCCGUAAACGAUGUCUAUUUGAGUGUGCCUUGAGGCGUGGCUUCCGGAGCUAACGCGUUAAAUAGACCGCCUGGGGAGUACGGCCGCAAGGUUAAAACUCAAAUGAAUUGACGGGGCCGCACAAGCGGUGGAGCA